UCCCUGAUGGUCCAGUGGUUAAGACUGCUCUCCCAACGCAGGGGGCCCAGGUUCAAUCCCUGGUCAGAGAA
rnacentral:tRNA from 1 species